UCGGAUCCCCGGGUUCUGAGGUUUUUCAUUUAAAUUUGAAUGUGUACAACUAGGUUACAAGGACAGGGAUUUUGUUUUGUUCCGUAACGUAUUCCCAGGGUUGGAACAGAGCCGGACGUACACUAGGCACUCAACAAAUAUUUGUUGAAAGAUUUUAAUGAGUAACACCCACCCAUUUUUGCAGCUCUUGUUUCCUAGCGAGGGCAGAGUUCAUCACUGAGAAGGCGAAAUUCUGAAAAUGGGAGUCUACAGAUGUGGUUGCCAAAGAGAUCACAUUUUCUACUCCCUGGACAAAUCCAACCUCUCUGAAGUAAUCUCUACACCCUACGUGAGACUCAAACUUAGGACCCGGAGAUCAAGAGUCACAAGCUCUUCCAACGGAGCCAGCCAGUCACGUCCGUGACUCCAGUCACGGAGUCAACCAGUUCACCCUGGUUGAACUUUGACAACCAGUAGUACUUACUCAUGCUUAGAGCUUGGGAAAGAGGUUGGGUGAGGGUAUCCAUCAGUUACACUGACGUUAGAGGGAAGAAUAACAUUUCCAAAAUAGAACUGCUCCCGGUAAUAGGACAUCCCUUUCUGGUUCGAGUCUGUAUCCCUGCUUUAGAAUCUAAUUUGAAUCGGCAUCCGUUUCUGCAAACAAUAUUUUGACUCAUUCUGAAAGGCAUCCCCCCAAAACCAUUGGCACUUCCUCUGUGGUGUGGCCCAUCGUGUUGAUGAGAGAGAGAGCAGAAGGGAGAUCUUUCUCUUUAUAAACAUAAAUAACAAUAAUAAAGUAGCUUUAUUUAUUAAACCGACACACCUAUCUCAUGUGAUUCUCACAACAACCAAAUCAGGUACAAA